rnacentral:rRNA from 1 species
UACGAAGGGGGCUAGCGUUGCUCGGAAUGACUGGGCGUAAAGGGCGCGUAGGCGGUUCGUACAGUUGGAUGUGAAAUUCCUGGGCUUAACCUGGGGGCUGCAUUCAAUACGUGCGGGCUUGAGUGUGGAAGAGGGUUGUGGAAUUCCCAGUGUAGAGGUGAAAUUCGUAGAUAUUGGGCAGAACACCGGUGGCGAAGGCGGCAACCUGGUCCAUAACUGACGCUGAGGCGCGAAAGCGUGGGGAGCAAACAGG